GACGAACGCUGGCGGCGUGCCUGAUACAUGCAAGUAGAACGCUGAAGAGAGGAGCUUACUCUUCUUGGAUGAGUUGCGAACGGGUGAGUAACGCGUAGGUAACCUGCCUUGUAGCGGGGGAUAACUAUUGGAAACGAUAGCUAAUACCGCAUAACAAUGGAUGACACAUGUCAUUUAUUUGAAAGGGGCAAUUGCUCCACUACAAGAUGGACCUGCGUUGUAUUAGCUAGUAGGUGAGGUAAUGGCUCACCUAGGCGACGAUACAUAGCCGACCUGAGAGGGUGAUCGGCCACACUGGGACUGAGACACGGCCCAGACUCCUACGGGAGGCAGCAGUAGGGAAUCUUCGGCAAUGGGGGCAACCCUGACCGAGCAACGCCGCGUGAGUGAAGAAGGUUUUCGGAUCGUAAAGCUCUGUUGUAAGUCAAGAACGGGUGUGAGAGUGGAAAGUUCACACUGUGACGGUAGCUUACCAGAAAGGGACGGCUAACUACGUG
rnacentral:rRNA from 1 species